GCGCGAAAACUUUACAAUGCUGGAAACAGCGAUAAGGGGACCUCGAGUGCCAGGUUACAAAUCUGGCUGUCGUGAUGCCUAAAAAGCAUUGCAUAGCAAGGGCCGGGCAAGACCGGUGC
rnacentral:rRNA from 1 species